GACGAACGCUGGCGGCGUGCUUAACACAUGCAAGUCGAACGAUGAACCCGGAGCUUGCUCCGGUGGAUUAGUGGCGAACGGGUGAGUAACACGUGAGUAACCCGCCCUUGACUCUGGGAUAACUGCGGGAAACUGUAGCUAAUACCGGAUACGACCCUCGGCGGCAUCGCCAGGGGGUGGAAAGAAUUUCGGUCAAGGAUGGACUCGCGGCCUAUCAGCUAGUUGGUGAGGUAACGGCUCACCAAGGCGACGACGGGUAGCCGGCCUGAGAGGGUGACCGGGCACGCUGGGACUGAGACACGGCCCAGACUCCUACGGGAGGCAGCAGUGGGGAAUAUUGCACAAUGGGCGCAAGCCUGAUGUAGCAACGCCGCGUGAGGGAUGACGGCCUUCGGGUUGUAAACCUCUUUUAGUAGGGAAGAAGCGAAAGUGACGGUACCUGCAGAAAAAGCACCGGCUAACUACGUGCCAGCAGCCGCCGCGG
rnacentral:rRNA from 1 species